UUAAGCGACUAAGCGUACACGGUGGAUGCCCUGGCAGUCAGAGGCGAUGAAGGACGUGCUAAUCUGCGAUAAGCGUCGGUGAGGUGAUAUGAACCGUUAUAACCGGCGAUUUCCGAAUGGGGAAACCCAGUGUGUUUCGACACACUAUCAUUAACUGAAUCCAUAGGUUAAUGAGGCGAACCGGGGGAACUGAAACAUCUAAGUACCCCGAGGAAAAGAAAUCAACCGAGAUUCCCCCAGUAGCGGCGAGCGAACGGGGAGGAGCCCAGAGCCUGAAUCAGUGUGUGUGUUAGUGGAAGCGUCUGGAAAGGCGCGCGAUACAGGGUGACAGCCCCGUACACAAAAAUGCACAUAUUGUGAGCUCGAUGAGUAGGGCGGGACACGUGGUAUCCUGUCUGAAUAUGGGGGGACCAUCCUCCAAGGCUAAAUACUCCUGACUGACCGAUAGUGAACCAGUACCGUGAGGGAAAGGCGAAAAGAACCCCGGCGAGGGGAGUGAAAAAGAACCUGAAACCGUGUACGUACAAGCAGUGGGAGCCUCUUAAUGGGGUGACUGCGUACCUUUUGUAUAAUGGGUCAGCGACUUAUAUUCUGUAGCAAGGUUAACCGAAUAGGGGAGCCGAAGGGAAACCGAGUCUUAACUGGGCGUUAAGUUGCAGGGUAUAGACCCGAAACCCGGUGAUCUAGCCAUGGGCAGGUUGAAGGUUGGGUAACACUAACUGGAGGACCGAACCGACUAAUGUUGAAAAAUUAGCGGAUGACUUGUGGCUGGGGGUGAAAGGCCAAUCAAACCGGGAGAUAGCUGGUUCUCCCCGAAAGCUAUUUAGGUAGCGCCUCGUGAAUUCAUCUCCGGGGGUAGAGCACUGUUUCGGCAAGGGGGUCAUCCCGACUUACCAACCCGAUGCAAACUGCGAAUACCGGAGAAUGUUAUCACGGGAGACACACGGCGGGUGCUAACGUCCGUCGUGAAGAGGGAAACAACCCAGACCGCCAGCUAAGGUCCCAAAGUCAUGGUUAAGUGGGAAACGAUGUGGGAAGGCCCAGACAGCCAGGAUGUUGGCUUAGAAGCAGCCAUCAUUUAAAGAAAGCGUAAUAGCUCACUGGUCGAGUCGGCCUGCGCGGAAGAUGUAACGGGGCUAAACCAUGCACCGAAGCUGCGGCAGCGACACUAUGUGUUGUUGGGUAGGGGAGCGUUCUGUAAGCCUGUGAAGGUGGCCUGUGAGGGUUGCUGGAGGUAUCAGAAGUGCGAAUGCUGACAUAAGUAACGAUAAAGCGGGUGAAAAGCCCGCUCGCCGGAAGACCAAGGGUUCCUGUCCAACGUUAAUCGGGGCAGGGUGAGUCGACCCCUAAGGCGAGGCCGAAAGGCGUAGUCGAUGGGAAACAGGUUAAUAUUCCUGUACUUGGUGUUACUGCGAAGGGGGGACGGAGAAGGCUAUGUUGGCCGGGCGACGGUUGUCCCGGUUUAAGCGUGUAGGCUGGUUUUCCAGGCAAAUCCGGAAAAUCAAGGCUGAGGCGUGAUGACGAGGCACUACGGUGCUGAAGCGACAAAUGCCCUGCUUCCAGGAAAAGCCUCUAAGCAUCAGGUAACAUCAAAUCGUACCCCAAACCGACACAGGUGGUCAGGUAGAGAAUACCAAGGCGCUUGAGAGAACUCGGGUGAAGGAACUAGGCAAAAUGGUGCCGUAACUUCGGGAGAAGGCACGCUGAUAUGUAGGUGAAGCGACUUGCUCGUGGAGCUGAAAUCAGUCGAAGAUACCAGCUGGCUGCAACUGUUUAUUAAAAACACAGCACUGUGCAAACACGAAAGUGGACGUAUACGGUGUGACGCCUGCCCGGUGCCGGAAGGUUAAUUGAUGGGGUUAGCGGUAACGCGAAGCUCUUGAUCGAAGCCCCGGUAAACGGCGGCCGUAACUAUAACGGUCCUAAGGUAGCGAAAUUCCUUGUCAGGU
rnacentral:rRNA from 1 species